rnacentral:snRNA from 1 species
AUCGCUUCUCGGCCUUUGGCUAAGAUCAAGUGUAGUAUCUGUUCUUAUCAGUUUAAUAUUCGAUACGUCCCUAUCCGAGGACAAUAUAUUAAAUGGAUUUUUGAGCAGGGAGAUGGAAUAGGAGCUUGCUCCGUCCACUCCACGCAUCGACCUGGUAUUGCAGUACCUCCAGGAACGGUGCACCUGGC